rnacentral:pre_miRNA from 1 species
AGGAGGAACAACCUCAGUGGCGGCGGCCAGCUCUGGAGCCCUGGAGUCAGCUCCCGCAAUAACUCCGGAGCUCUCCGUCUGCAGGGCCUGGAGGCUCCGGGGCGGG